rnacentral:rRNA from 1 species
CGACCGGCGCACGGGUGAGUAACGCGUAUCCAACCUGCCCUUUACUAUGGGACAGCCCGUCGAAAGGCGGAUUAAUACCGUAUGUUGUCAUGUUGAUGCAUAUUUUCAUGACCAAAGGCUUCAGCCGGUAAAGGAUGGGGAUGCGUCUGAUUAGCUUGCCGGCGGGGUAACGGCCCACCGGGGCGACGAUCAGUAGGGGUUCUGAGAGGAAGGUCCCCCACAUUGGAACUGAGACACGGUCCAAACUCCUACGGAAGGCAGCAG